rnacentral:rRNA from 1 species
CGCUGGCGGCGUGCCUAACACAUGCAAGUCGAACGGGAAGCUGAUUUCGAUCAGCUGAGAGUGGCGAACGGGUGAGUAACACGUAGCUAACCUGCCUUCAAGACGAGGAUAACUAUUGGAAACAGUAGCUAAUACUCGAUAAGCUCACGGUUUGUAGAUGACUGUGAGAAAAGCUCAGGCGCUUGAAGAUGGGGCUGCGAGCCAUCAGCUAGUUGGUGAGGUAAAAGCUCACCAAGGCGACGACGGCUAGGGGACCUGAGAGGGUGACCCCCCACACUGGAACUGAGACACGGUCCAGACUUCUACGGAAGGCAGCAGUGAGGAAUAUUGCACAAUGGGCGCAAGCCUGAUGCAGCGACGCCGCGUGGGUGAAGACGGUUUUCGGACUGUAAAGCCCUUUUCUAGGUGACGAGAGUGGACGGUAGCCUAGGAAUAAGUCUCGGCUAACUACGUGCCAGCAGCCGCGGUAAAACGUAGGAGGCGAGCGUUAUCCGGAGUUACUGGGCGUAAAGCGCGUGCAGGCGGAUCGGUAAGUUACUCAUGAAAGCUCCUGGCUAAACCGGGAGAGGUUGAGUAAAACUGCCAGUCUAGAGUGGAUGAGAGGUAGGUAGAAUUCCUUGUGUAGUGGUGAAAUGCGUAGAUAUAAGAAGAAUACCGGUGGCGAAGCGACCUACUGGCAUCCAACUGACGCUCAGACGCGAAAGC